AUUGAACGCUGGCGGCAGGCCUAACACAUGCAAGUCGAGCGGAGCGGCGGACGGGUGAAUAAUGCCUAGGAAGCUGCCUGGUAGUGGGGGACAACGUCCGGAAACGGGCGCUAAUACCGCAUACUAUCAGAUGAGUCUAGGUGGGAUUAGCUAGUUGGGGGGGUAAAGGCCUACCAAGGCGACGAUGCAUAACUGGUCUGAGCGGACGAUCAGUCACACUGGGACUGAGACACGGUCCAGACUCCUACGGGAGGCAGCAGUAGGGAAUAUUGGGCAAUGGGCGAAAGCCUGAUCCAGCCAUGCCGCGUGUGUGAAGAAGGUCUUCGGAUUGUAAAACACUGUAGGUUGAGAGGCGUUACCAACAGAGUAAGCACCGGCUAACUUCGUGCCAGCAGCCGCGGUAAUUC
rnacentral:rRNA from 1 species